rnacentral:tRNA from 1 species
GGUUGGAUAGCUGAGAUGGAUUAGCGAUUCCCUGAAAAGGAAUAGAGGUUGGUUCGAUUCCAACUCCGACCACCA